GACGGGGGAGUGGGGCGGGUGGAGUGGUGCUAACUCUAAAACCAUCCUGGAGUGAGAAUGAGUGACCUUUUUUUUCAUUUUCACAGAGCUGUGAUCCCAACAGUCAUUUGCUAGACAAUAUUUGAGCUGAUUAUUUCUACAUACUAUUUAUAUUGUUAGGUAUUUGAAUGAAUGAAUACCACCACUUUGAAGAUAAAUUAUAGCUGAAUUAUUCAUUUCUAAAAGAAAAGUGGUGCAAUAUGGCUUUUAUGUCAAACACCACAAAAAUUGUUUUUUAAAAUCCCAGUUAAGUCAACAGUAUAAUUCUGAAAUGUGUUCCUUGCUGAUUCUGGAUCUUUCAUUCUGUUUUUCCUCUGAUUGGUCUAUACAUUUCUGUCCUCUUGACUAGCAUUCAGAUUGUAAUGGAAAUCAAAACUAGUACCAUUUGCUGUGGCUUAGGCAUUACUUCCCUCCUUCCCUGGGAGUUUUGUAGCAGAUGGGUGGAUAAUGUGAACGUCACAUUGCAGCCUGACAACCUCCUGUGGUCUUAAGCUACACCUUGUAAGAUCAUGGUGUUGAAUGGUUAAGACCAGGGCUCAGCAAACUUUUUCCCUAAAGGACUAAAUGGUAAAUAUUUUCAGCUUUGCAGGCCCUGGAGUCUCUGUCACAACUACUUAGCUGCCGUUCUAGUGCAGAAACAGCCAUAGAAAAUACUAAACAAGUGGUUGUGGCUGUGUCCCAUUAAACCACAAAAAUAGGCUGGCCGUAGUUGACCUGAUUAAAACCAUCGACUGCUUGGGUUUAACUAUCUCACUCUACAUGUACUGAGACCUUGGCAAUGACCGGUCUGGAUAGAAACGGCGAAGGAUUCUGAGGCAGAAUGAAGGUGCCAUUUGAGGAUACUAAUGCACCUUUCUGAUUUGCAAUUGGCCGCCACUCCCACCCAGAGAUAGAAACCCCAAGGUCUCUCUGUCACCAGACGUGGUGAGUGAGGGGCCCGAGCUGGCCUUCAGGGACCCCACUCACCCUGAAGCUACUUGCUUCCUUGAGCAGCCACCCACCUCCACUGCAGUGGCCAGCUCCCAGCAGCCACAAGGUAUGCAGAGCUGGAGGGACGGCCAGCGGGCCUGAUUCCAUCCUAGCAUCCAGUCUAGCCACCACCCCUUACAGCCCUGUCCUCGCGAAGUCCCAACAGCCCCAGCUCCCUUCACUGGACCCACAGGCCUCCUGCUGUUUUGAAAACUGCUGCCUCCACCUGCAGGUAAGGGACUUCCCCUUUAUUGUCCUAGGAGAGCACUCACUUCUUGCCUGGACCUGUUUAAAUUGCAAAUGUCCCAUCUUGACCUUUCUCUGAGCUAUCUACAAUAGAUGACAUAAUUUCCAAGUUUCUUGUGGUUCCUCCAAAGGCUUCCUCCGAUUUGUGUGUGGUGGAGAGUGCUGGUGAGAAUUUAAUGGAAUAAUGUCACCAAAGUGCUCAGGGGCACAGAGUGGUGGCUCCUAUUGUGAGAGCUACACCCAGGCCCUGGGGACCAGCCCCCAGUCCUUCAAACAUUCCAAAAGCCAACCAAGACUGGGAACCUACUGGUAAUCCGAGCUUCCUGCUUCUGAACUCAUCUGAGCAUUUUGCUGGAAAUUUCGAAAGAACCUUGACACACUUUCUCAAAUCAGAUGGCAGGGGCAGGUGGACAAGUAAGACUCUCUUCCUUUAGUUCUCUUAUGUCACAAAAUAUGUGGGUAUUUUGAGAAGAGGCCCAAAUUCUGGAGAGUCUUAAUUUUUUUUUAAUUUAACUUACUUUUUUGACCUGGUUCAGAAUUCAAGAUCUAUAAAACA
ensembl:lncRNA